AUACGAAAGGUGCAAGCGUUGUUCGGAUUUACUGGGCGUAAAGAGAGUGUAGGUGGUUUAUUAAGUCGGAUGUGAAAUCCCGGGGCUCAACCUCGGAACUGCAUUCGAUACUGAUAGGCUAGAGUUUGGGAGGGGUAAGCGGUAUUCCGUGUGUAGCAGUGAAAUGCGUAGAUAUACGGAGGAACACCUGAGGCGAAGGCGGCUUACUGGACCAAUACUGACACUGAGACUCGAAAGCGUGGGUAGCAAACAGGAUUAGAUACCCUAGUAGUCC
rnacentral:rRNA from 1 species